AUCCACCGGCAGGCCCAUAAUGACAUCAAUGUGAGGAGAGGGGCUAGUGGAGCCGAAUAAAAAAAACCCAUAAGCCCGAUUACAUCAAUCUAAGUUUCGGAGACUUGCAGCAUCGCCGCUCGAAGUUAGGGUUUAUUGGCGCCUAUAAAAUGCGUAUCAAUUCAACAUCAUUCUUAUACAAAUGCAACGCAUCAUUCUUCUUCUUCGAAAUCAGGAUAGUGUUCUUGUUCUUUAGCUAAGAUUUCUUUUGAAUAUGUGUGCGUAUUUAUAUUUGCAUCUUUGUUAUACUAUUUGAAUUGUUCUUUUGAAUCUGUAUUGAAACUAAAAAAGCCAAUUUGCAGAGCAAGGGCGCCGAUAAAAAUGGCGUAACUUGCAUUGAAGGUUGGCGAAAACAAUUAGUAUUGCGAUUCUCCGUGCCUAUCAAGUUGAUUUAUAUCGUUUUGUUA